GACGAACGCUGGCGGCGUGCCUAAUACAUGCAAGUAGAACGCUGAAGGAGGAGCUUGCUUCUCUGGAUGAGUUGCGAACGGGUGAGUAACGCGUAGGUAACCUGCCUGGUAGCGGGGGAUAACUCUUGGAAACGAUAGCUAAUACCGCAUAAUAGUAGAUGUCGCAUGACAUUUGCUUAAAAGGUGCAAUUGUAUCACUACCAGAUGGACCUGCGUUGUAUUAGCUAGUUGGUGAGGUAACGGCUCAACAAGGCAACGAUACAUAGCCGACCCGAGAGGGGGGUUGGGCCCACUGGGAACGGGACACGGCCCAGGAUUCUACGGGAGGCAGCAGUAGGGAAACUUCGGCAAUGGAGGGAAGUCUGACCGGGCAACGCCGCGUGAGGGAAGGAGGUUUUCGGGUCGUAAAGCUCUGUUGUAAGGGAAGAACGAGUGUGAGAGUGGAAAGUUCACACUGUGACGGUAUCUUACCAGAAAGGGACGGCUAACUACGUG
rnacentral:rRNA from 1 species